rnacentral:rRNA from 1 species
ACGAAGGGGGCUAGCGUUGUUCGGAAUCACUGGGCGUAAAGCGCACGUAGGCGGAUUGAUUAGUCGAGGGUGAAAUCCCGGGGCUCAACCUCGGAACUCCCUACGAUACUGUCAGUCUCGAGUCCGGGGGAGGUGAGUGGAAUUCCUAGUGUAGAGGUGAAAUGCGUAGAUAUUAGGAAGACCACCAGUGGGGGAGGCGGCUCACUGGCCCGGUACUGACGCUCAGGUGCGAAAGCGUGGGGAGCAAACAG